GGGGGCGCGCCUGACCUCCACAUUCCAGCACCAGCUGCGGGAGACUGGGGGCAAGUGGCCUGCAGUAAACUGGGGACCACAGGGCGCUGCAUUCCAGCUGGACAGCAACCUCCAAGGAUAUGGCUUUCAUGAAUCACCACUCAGGCUGGGGUGGGCUUUCGAGUGAUGCAGCUGCCUCUGAGUCACCCACACUCCUGUACAGCAAUGGGGACAGCAGCGUGCAUUCAGUGGAAACUACUUCAGGCUGCAUUUCAUCCUUCCUCAGGCUAGCAUUAUUUGCAUGAGACAGUGACAUCUACAUUGUGGAAGAACUGGGCAGUGAGGAGGAAUCAGAGCGUGCCACGUGGACACCUACUCACAAUAAUCACUUACUCCACUGACUCUGUGACUAACUCAUAGCAUUAGUGGAUAAUAAUGCUGAUUCACUGUUUGUUUUAUUUGUCUCUAAUUUGUUACUUAGAAUCAAAGCUUUUUUAAAAAAGCUAGAAUACUUUAAAUAAACCCCUUGUGAACCCUAA
rnacentral:lncRNA from 1 species